rnacentral:lncRNA from 1 species
UCUUCAUCUCCUUACUCUCUCUCUCAAAAAUUCUCAAUUUUCCUCUCUUCAUCAUCUCUUCUAAAAUGGAUCCAAACAAUCCCAACUACUACAACCCAAAUUGGAAAGGGAAAGGCAUCGGCGUCGAAGGGGAAGGGGAAGGGAAAGGCGUCGACAUCGCAAGCUUCGGAGCCUCCACCCGAAUGCAAAGAGUACAUGGAGAAGUCUGACACCAAGCUCGAACGAAUGAUGGAGAUGUACGACACAAAGAAUGCCCUCAAGAGGAAGAUCCCCAACGAUCGAAUCAUCUUCAUGAAGACUUCCGACAUGAGUCCAGAGCAGCUAU